GACGAACGCUGGCGGCGUGCCUAACACAUGCAAGUCGUGCGAGAAAGUUCCUUCGGGAGCGAGUAAAGCGGCGCACGGGUGAGUAACACGUAGGUAACCUGCCCCCCAGUCUGGAACAACUAGAGGAAACUCUAGCUAAUGCCGGAUGAGACCACGAUCCCUUCGGGGGUUGCGGCCAAAGAUGGCCUCUACUUGUAAGCUAUCGCUGAGGGAUGGGCCUGCGGGCCAUUAGCUUGUUGGUGAGGUAACGGCUCACCAAGGCUGUGAUGGCUAGCUGGUCUGAGAGGAUGACCAGCCACACUGGGACUGAGACACGGCCCAGACUCCUACGGAGGCAGCAGUGGGGAAUAUUGCGCAAUGGGCGAAAGCCUGACGCAGCGACGCCGCGUGGGUGAUGAAGGCCUC
rnacentral:rRNA from 1 species